CCUACGGGAGGCAGCAGUGAGGAAUAUUGGUCAAUGGGCGCGAGCCUGAACCAGCCAAGUAGCGUGAAGGAUGACUGCCCUACGGGUUGUAAACUUCUUUUAUAAAGGAAUAAAGUGAGGCACGUGUGCCUUUUUGUAUGUACUUUAUGAAUAAUGAUCGGCUAACUCCGUGCCAGCAGCCGCGGUAAUACGGAGGAUCCGAGCGUUAUCCGGAUUUAUUGGGUUUAAAGGGAGCGUAGAUGGGUUGUUAAGUCAGUUGUGAAAGUUUGCGGCUCAACCGUAAAAUUGCAAUUGAUACUGGCAGUCUUGAGUACAGUUGAGGUAGGCGGAAUUCGUGGUGUAGCGGUGAAAUGCUUAGAUAUCACGAAGAACUCCGAUUGCGAAGGCAGCUUACCGGCGCCCAACUGACGCUGAAGCACGAAAGCGUGGGUAUCGAACAGGAUUAGAUACCCCUGUAGUC
rnacentral:rRNA from 1 species